CAUAUGCUUGUCUCAAAGAUUAAGCCAUGCAUGUCUAAGUAUAAACAACUUUAUACUGUAAAACUGCAGAUGGCUCAUUAAAACAGUUAUAAUUUCUUUGAUGGUUACUUUACUACAUGGAUAACCGUAGUAAUUCUGGAGCUAAUACAUGCGUCAAGUCCUAACUCUUGCGGGGAGGGAUGUAUUUAUUAGAUAAAAAACCAAUACGGCUUGCCAUUUAUCUGGUGAUUCAUAAUAACUAGUCGAAGCGCAUGGCCUCGUGCCGGCGCUAGUUCAUUCAAAUUUCUGCCCUAUCAGCUUUCGACGGUAGUGUAGUGGACUACCGUGGCAUUAACGGGUAACGGAGAAUUAGGGUUCGAUUCCGGAGAGGGAGCCUGAGAAAUGGCUACCACAUCCAAGGAAGGCAGCAGGCGCGCAAAUUACCCAAUCGCAAUUCGCGGAGGUAGUGACAAGAAAUAACCAUACCGGGCCUUUUAGGUCUGGUAAUUGGAAUGAGUACAAUGUAAAACUCUUAACGAGUAACAAGUGGAGGGCAAGUCUGGUGCCAGCAGCCGCGGUAAUUCCAGCUCCACUAGCGUAUAUUAAAAUUGCUGCAGUUAAAAAGCUCGUAGUUGGAUUUCUGACACGACGCGCCUGGUCCGCCCCGUCAAGGUGUGUGAGUACCGGUGUGCGUCUGUCAUCCUUCCGCAGAGCGUGCCUACCCUUCACUGGGCCGGGUACGCGAUGUGGAUCGUUUACUUUGAAAAAAUUAGAGUGUUUAAAGCAAGCUACGCUGUGAAUACAUUAGCAUGGAAUAAUAAGAUAGGACUUUGGUUCUAUUUUGUUGGUUUCUAGGACUGAAGUAAUGAUUGAUAGGGAUAGUUGGGGGUGCUAGUAUUCAACGGCCAGAGGUGAAAUUCUUGGAUUCGUUGAAGACUAACUUAUGCGAAAGCAUUCACCAAGGAUGUCUUCUUUAAUCAAGAACGAAAGUUGGGGGAUCGAAGAGGAUCAGAUACCCUCGUAGUCUCAACCAUAAACUAUGCCGACUUGGGAUCAGUGGACGUUGUUUCGACUCCAUUGGCACCAUAUGAGAAAUCAAAGUCUUUGGGUUCCGGGGGGAGUAUGGUCGCAAGGCUGAAGCUUAAAGAAAUUGACGGAAGGGCACCACCAGGCGUGGAGUUUGCGGCUUAAUUUGACUCAACACGGGAAAACUUACCAGGUCCAGACAUAGUAAGGAUUGACAGAUUGAAGUUCUUCUUGAUUCUGUGGGUGGUGGUGC
rnacentral:rRNA from 1 species